rnacentral:tRNA from 1 species
GCCCCUGUAGCUCAGUCGGUAGAGCGCCUCUUUCGUAAUGAGGAUGUCGCGGGUUCGACUCCUGCCAGGGGCU